rnacentral:rRNA from 1 species
CCUACGGGUGGCAGCAGUGGGGAAUAUCGCACAAUGGGCGCAAGCCUGAUGCAGCCAUGCCGCGUGUGUGAAGAAGGCCUUCGGGUUGUAAAGCACUUUCAGCGGGGAGGAAGGCGUUAAGGUUAAUAACCUUGUCGAUUGACGUUACCCGCAGAAGAAGCACCGGCUAACUCCGUGCCAGCAGCCGCGGUAAUACGGAGGGUGCAAGCGUUAAUCGGAAUUACUGGGCGUAAAGCGCACGCAGGCGGUCUGUCAAGUCGGAUGUGAAAUCCCCGGGCUCAACCUGGGAACUGCAUUCGAAACUGGCAGGCUAGAGUCUUGUAGAGGGGGGUAGAAUUCCAGGUGUAGCGGUGAAAUGCGUAGAGAUCUGGAGGAAUACCGGUGGCGAAGGCGGCCCCCUGGACAAAGACUGACGCUCAGGUGCGAAAGCGUGGGGAGCAAACAGGAUUAGAUACCCGGUAGUC